UUCUGAAAGUUUGAGGAAAAUUUGAGAGCAGCAAAAGCAAACACUUAUUUUGUGUUUUUUCUUGGGUUAUUACUGAAACAGUUACAAUAAACUAUAAGCUCUGAAAAAUUUCAAUUAAAGGAGAUAUCUAAGCGAUAUAUAUCCGAUAAGAGGGAAUAAAGAAACUUAAAUGCCGAGCGAAAGAAAAAGAAGUGCAACAAUGAGCCGCGCUGGCAACAAUCAAGUUUAGAAAAUACAAAAAGCAUUUGGUUUAUCAUGAUGACAUCAAAUAAUGGCAUUGCGUGGAGGUGAAUGUCAAGUUGAGAGAAAAAGGCCAAUCCAGUUAGUUUCUUAAAAACAUUGUACUUACUGUAAAUUAAUAAUGGAGCUAACGGUUUAUUAUGCUAUUAAUGAAACGAAAUACAAAUGAUCGUAAAUGCA